GUUAUUUGGCUCGGCGGGCAGACCGCGUGCAGUGUGUUUGCAGCGUGAGCGCGUGGCGGGGCGCGCGGACAGCCGCGAGGCGUUUCCCAUGCGCCGCUCUCAGAGGUGCAGACAUGUGCGACUCGGACGACCACCAGCACAUCACUGUGCCCCCACGCUACGAGGACAUCGAUGAAGAGCAGCGCGGCCCCCUCCCUCCACCGCUGUCCCCGCUGUGCGUCCACCGCUCCUCCAGCUCCAGGCACACACACCCGCAAGCUCAGGAAGACCACAGAGUUGGGGGGCUGCUUCUUAGCUGUAUGGAGGACAGACCCAUGGAGGAGAGGAAGGAGAGGGAUCUGU